GCUUCCUUGGCUCAGUUGGUAGAGCGUUGGUCUCAUAUUUAUAUGAGUGGUCUAUGAUUACGUAAUCCAAAGGUCGAGAGUUCGAGCCUCUCAGGGAGCA